rnacentral:rRNA from 1 species
CGGGGUGCAGCAGGCGCGAAAACUUUACAAUGCUGGCAACAGCGAUAAGGGGACCUCGAGUGCCAGGAUACAAUCUUGGCUGUCGUGAUGCCUAAAAAGCAUUACAUAGCAAGGGCCGGGCAAGACCGGUGCCAGCCGCCGCGGUAACACCGGCGGCUCGAGUGGUAACCGCUAUUAUUGGGUCUAAAGGGUCUGUAGCCGGCCGGAUAAGUCUCUUGGGAAAUCCAGCAGCUCAACUGUUGGGCUUCCAGGGGAUACUGUUCGGCUCGAGGCCGGGAGAGGUGAGAGGUACUUCAGGGGUAGGGGUGAAAUCUUGUAAUCCUUGAAGGACCACCAGUGGCGAAGGCGUCUCACCAGAACGGUCCUGACGGCAAGGGACGAAAGCUAGGGGCACGAACCGGAUUAGAUACCCGGGUAGUCCUAGCCGUAAACGAUACUCGCUAGGUGUCGGCCACGGUGCGACCGUGGUCGGUGCCGUAGGGAAGCCGUGAAGCGAGCCACCUGGGAAGUACGGCCGCAAGGCUGAAACUUAAAGGAAUUGGCGGGGGAGCACAAGGGCGAUUCGCG